AUUGAACGCUGGCGGCAUGCCUUACACAUGCAAGUCGAACGGUAACAGGUUUUCGGAUGCUGACGAGUGGCGAACGGGUGAGUAAUACAUUGGAACGUGCCCGAUCGUGGGGGAUAACGAAGCGAAAGCUUUGCUAAUACCGCAUACGAUUUACGGAUGAAAGCAGGGGACCGCAAGGCCUUGCGCGAACGGAGCGGCCGAUGGCAGAUUAGGUAGUUGGUGGGAUAAAAGCUUACCAAGCCGACGAUCUGUAGCUGGUUUGAGAGGACGACCAGCCCCCCUGGGACUGAGACCCGGCCCCGACUCCUACGGGAGGCAGCAGUGGGGAAUUUUGGACAAUGGGCGAAAGCCUGAUCCAGCCCUGCCGCGUGCAGGAUGAAGGCCUUCGGGUUGUAAACUGCUUUUGUACGGAACGAAAAGACUUUGGUUAAUACCUGGGGUCCCUGACGGUACCGUAAGAAUAAGCCCCGGCUAACUACGUG
rnacentral:rRNA from 1 species